GACGAACGCUGGCGGCGUGCCUAAUACAUGCAAGUCGAGCGGACCGACGGGAGCUUGCUCCCUUAGGUCAGCGGCGGACGGGUGAGUAACACGUGGGUAACCUGCCUGUAAGACUGGGAUAACUCCGGGAAACCGGGGCUAAUACCGGAUGCUUGAUUGAACCGCAUGGUUCAAUCAUAAAAGGUGGCUUUCAGCUACCACUUACAGAUGGACCCGCGGCGCAUUAGCUAGUUGGUGAGGUAACGGCUCACCAAGGCGACGAUGCGUAGCCGACCUGAGAGGGUGAUCGGCCACACUGGGACUGAGACACGGCCCAGACUCCUACGGGAGGCAGCAGUAGGGAAUCUUCCGCAAUGGACGAAAGUCUGACGGAGCAACGCCGCGUGAGUGAUGAAGGUUUUCGGAUCGUAAAACUCUGUUGUUAGGGAAGAACAAGUACCGUUCGAAUAGGGCGGCACCUUGACGGUACCUAACCAGAAAGCCACGGCUAACUACGUGCCAGCAGCCGCGGUAAUACGUAGGUGGCAAGCGUUGUCCGGAAUUAUUGGGCGUAAAGCGCGCGCAGGCGGUUUCUUAAGUCUGAUGUGAAAGCCCCCGGCUCAACCGGGGAGGGUCAUUGGAAACUGGGGAACUUGAGUGCAGAAGAGGAGAGUGGAAUUCCACGUGUAGCGGUGAAAUGCGUAGAGAUGUGGAGGAACACCAGUGGCGAAGGCGACUCU
rnacentral:rRNA from 1 species